rnacentral:rRNA from 1 species
AUGUUUGUCUGGCUUGCGCAUAAAGAUCGUGUAUUUACCCACGAGAGACGGUUCAAACACUCUAUUGCAACCUCUGAUCAGUGCCCUCUCUGCGAUGGUCGAGAGAGCAUUGAUCACCUGCUGUUCCAGUGUCAGCUGCUCCAUCCACUCUGGGACGAGCUUAAGAGUCUACACUUCGGGAGUCACCAAUCUUUGCUGGAUAUUUGGAAUGCUGACAGGGCUAAUAAAGUUCGGUCCACCAUCAUUAUAGCUCUGCUCUGGAACAUUUGGAAACGGCGCAACGCAAAAGUAUUCCGCAAUGACACUCUGGGGGUGUACCACAUUGCUCGCUCGGCUGCGGAUGAUUUGAUGCUGUGGUCUCACAGAUGUAAAAAUGUUCAGAAGCAAAACCUGCUUCGAGACUGGAGCUCUAUGUUGUUUCAUUUAGCUGGGAGAAUAUAG